AUGUUUUACCUGUGCUGGGAUUCCCUGCUCCAUUUCGGGGUUCCCAGCACCAUCUUGGGAUUCCCAGUUGUGUGUCGGGGUUUCCAGUUCUGUCUCGGGAUUCCCAGUUGCAUCUCGGGGUUCCCAGCUCCAUGUUGGGGUUCCCGGCUCCAUCUUACAAUUCCUGGUUGUGUGUCAGGGUUCCCAGCUGUGUCUCGGGGUUCCCAGCUCCAUGGUGAGUUUCCCAGCACUAUCUUAGGAUUCCCAGUUCCAUCUCAGGGUUCUCAGCUCCGUCUUGGUCUUCCCACCUCCGUCUCAAGGUUCCCAGCUCCAUGUGGGAGUUCCCAGCAUCAUCUCAGUGUUCCCAGCUCCAUCUCGGGGUUCCCAGCUCCGUCUCGGGGUUCCCAGCUCCGUCUCAAUGUUCCCAGCUCCGUCUCAGGGUUCGCAGCAUCAUCUCGGGGUUCCCAGCUCCAUCUCGGGGUUCCCAGCAUCAUCUUGGGGUUCCCAGCUCCAUCUCGGGGUUCCCAGCACUAUCUCGGGAAACCCAGCUCCAUCUCAGGGUUCUCAGCUCCAUCUUGGGCUUCCCAGCUCUGUCUCGAGGUUCCCAGCUCCAUCUCAAGGUUCCCAGCAUCAUCUCGGGGUUCCCAACUCCAUCUCGGGGUUCCCAGCUCAAUGUCAAGGUUUCCAGCUUUGUCUUGUUGUUCCCAGCUCCAUCUCGGGGUUCCCAGCGCCAUCUCGGGGUUCCCAGGUCCAUGUCAGGGUUCUCAGCUCCAUGUAGGGGUUCCCAGCUCUAUCUCGGGGUUCCCAGCUCCAUCUCAGGGUUCCCAGCUCCAUGUCAAGGUUUCCAGCUUUGUCUUGUUGUUCCCAGCUCCAUCUCAGGGUUCCCAGCUUCAUCUUGGGGGCUUUGCAAGGUCUUGGAAAGGGGAACAGGAGAAUUCAAGGGCCAAAUUUUCCCUGGAAAAACCCACGCGCAGCAUUCCCACCGCCCCGAGAAGCUCCGGGCCUUGUGUCCCCAGGGUGAGGACCGGCACACAUCCCCAGCCCUCCCGAGGCCGCGGAGGCGGCACCGGGAGCCCAAAGUUGUGGAUCACUGGGUUUAUCCGGCGGGAUUCCGGCUGUGCUGGCAGCCAGGGCCCGUGUGCGCCGCUCGUCCCGGGCUGGCUGAGGAAUGACAAGUGA
rnacentral:lncRNA from 14 species